GACGAACGCUGGCGGCAUGCCUAAUACAUGCAAGUCGAGCGAACAGAUGAAGUGCUUGCACUUCUGACGUUAGCGGCGAACGGGUGAGUAACACGUAAGGAAUCUACCUAUAAGCGGGGGAUAACAUUCGGAAACGGGUGCUAAUACCGCAUAAUAUCUUCUUCCGCAUGGAAGAAGAUUGAAAGACGGCUCUGCUGUCACUUAUAGAUGACCUUGCGGUGCAUUAGUUAGUUGGUGGGGUAAUGGCCUACCAAGACGAUGAUGAAUAGCCGACCUGAGAGGGUGAUCGGCGAAAUUGGGACUGAGACACGGCCCAAACUCCUACGGGAGGCAGCAGUAGGGAAUCUUCCGCAAUGGGCGAAAGCCUGACGGAGCAAUGCCGCGUGAGUGAAGAAGGCCUUCGGGUCGUAAAACUCUGUUAUAAGAGAAGAACAAAUUGUAGAGUAACUGCUACAGUCUUGACGGUAUCUUAUCAGAAAGCCACGGCUAACUACGUGCCAGCCGCCGCGGUAA
rnacentral:rRNA from 1 species